rnacentral:rRNA from 1 species
GGUUCUUACAGUGCAGUAUGUAGGGACGGAGAAGGCAACUUUUUGGGCGCGUCGGCCAUCAGAUGUGCCGGCCUCACUGACCCUGCUACGCUUGAAUCGUUAGCUUGCCGGGAAGCUCUUGCGCUCGCUCAGGAUCUCUCGCUAUCCCAUCUUAUAGUUGCUUCUGACUCCAAAGGGGUGGUGCAGGAUAUCAAGCUAGGCACUGGUGCGAUGUAUGCAACUAUUGUGAGGGAAAUUAGAGAGACGAUGGAACUUUUUCAUCAAUGUUCCGUCAUCUUUGAAGGACGGGAAACUAAUCAAGAGGCACAUAGCCUUUCUAAGCAUGCUUUUGGUCUGGAUCCGGGGCGCCUCCUGUGGCUUUUAAACCCCCCAGAUUUGAAUUGUAUCCCUAUGAACAUUAUUCAAUAA